GAAUCAGUGUGUGUGUUAGUGGAAGCGUCUGGAAAGGCGCGCGAUACAGGGUGACAGCCCCGUACACAAAAAUGCACAUAUUGUGAGCUCGAUGAGUAGGGCGGGACACGUGGUAUCCUGUCUGAAUAUGGGGGGACCAUCCUCCAAGGCUAAAUACUCCUGACUGACCGAUAGUGAACCAGUACCGUGAGGGAAAGGCGAAAAGAACCCCGGCGAGGGGAGUGAAAAAGAACCUGAAACCGUGUACGUACAAGCAGUGGGAGCCUCUUAAUGGGGUGACUGCGUACCUUUUGUAUAAUGGGUCAGCGACUUAUAUUCUGUAGCAAGGUUAACCGAAUAGGGGAGCCGAAGGGAAACCGAGUCUUAACUGGGCGUUAAGUUGCAGGGUAUAGACCCGAAACCCGGUGAUCUAGCCAUGGGCAGGUUGAAGGUUGGGUAACACUAACUGGAGGACCGAACCGACUAAUGUUGAAAAAUUAGCGGAUGACUUGUGGCUGGGGGUGAAAGGCCAAUCAAACCGGGAGAUAGCUGGUUCUCCCCGAAAGCUAUUUAGGUAGCGCCUCGUGAAUUCAUCUCCGGGGGUAGAGCACUGUUUCGGCAAGGGGGUCAUCCCGACUUACCAACCCGAUGCAAACUGCGAAUACCGGAGAAUGUUAUCACGGGAGACACACGGCGGGUGCUAACGUCCGUCGUGAAGAGGGAAACAACCCAGACCGCCAGCUAAGGUCCCAAAGUCAUGGUUAAGUGGGAAACGAUGUGGGAAGGCCCAGACAGCCAGGAUGUUGGCUUAGAAGCAGCCAUCAUUUAAAGAAAGCGUAAUAGCUCACUGGUCGAGUCGGCCUGCGCGGAAGAUGUAACGGGGCUAAACCAUGCACCGAAGCUGCGGCAGCGACGCUUAUGCGUUGUUGGGUAGGGGAGCGUUCUGUAAGCCUGUGAAGGUGGCCUGUGAGGGUUGCUGGAGGUAUCAGAAGUGCGAAUGCUGACAUAAGUAACGAUAAAGCGGGUGAAAAGCCCGCUCGCCGGAAGACCAAGGGUUCCUGUCCAACGUUAAUCGGGGCAGGGUGAGUCGACCCCUAAGGCGAGGCCGAAAGGCGUAGUCGAUGGGAAACAGGUUAAUAUUCCUGUACUUGGUGUUACUGCGAAGGGGGGACGGAGAAGGCUAUGUUGGCCGGGCGACGGUUGUCCCGGUUUAAGCGUGUAGGCUGGUUUUCCAGGCAAAUCCGGAAAACCAAGGCUGAGGCGUGAUGACGAGGCACUACGGUGCUGAAGCGACAAAUGCCCUGCUUCCAGGAAAAGCCUCUAAGCAUCAGGUAACAUCAAAUCGUACCCCAAACCGACACAGGUGGUCAGGUAGAGAAUACCAAGGCGCUUGAGAGAACUCGGGUGAAGGAACUAGGCAAAAUGGUGCCGUAACUUCGGGAGAAGGCACGCUGAUAUGUAGGUGAAGCGACUUGCUCGUGGAGCUGAAAUCAGUCGAAGAUACCAGCUGGCUGCAACUGUUUAUUAAAAACACAGCACUGUGCAAACACGAAAGUGGACGUAUACGGUGUGACGCCUGCCCGGUGCCGGAAGGUUAAUUGAUGGGGUUAGCGGUAACGCGAAGCUCUUGAUCGAAGCCCCGGUAAACGGCGGCCGUAACUAUAACGGUCCUAAGGUAGCGAAAUUCCUUGUCGGGUAAGUUCCGACCUGCACGAAUGGCGUAAUGAUGGCCAGGCUGUCUCCACCCGAGACUCAGUGAAAUUGAACUCGCUGUGAAGAUGCAGUGUACCCGCGGCAAGACGGAAAGACCCCGUGAACCUUUACUAUAGCUUGACACUGAACAUUGAGCCUUGAUGUGUAGGAUAGGUGGGAGGCUUUGAAGUGUGGACGCCAGUCUGCAUGGAGCCGACCUUGAAAUACCACCCUUUAAUGUUUGAUGUUCUAACGUGGGCCCCUAAUCGGGGUUGCGGACAGUGUCUGGUGGGUAGUUUGACUGGGGCGGUCUCCUCCUAAAGAGUAACGGAGGAGCACGAAGGUUGGCUAAUCCUGGUCGGACAUCAGGAGGUUAGUGCAAUGGCAUAAGCCAGCUUGACUGCGAGCGUGACGGCGCGAGCAGGUGCGAAAGCAGGUCAUAGUGAUCCGGUGGUUCUGAAUGGAAGGGCCAUCGCUCAACGGAUAAAAGGUACUCCGGGGAUAACAGGCUGAUACCGCCCAAGAGUUCAUAUCGACGGCGGUGUUUGGCACCUCGAUGUCGGCUCAUCACAUCCUGGGGCUGAAGUAGGUCCCAAGGGUAUGGCUGUUCGCCAUUUAAAGUGGUACGCGAGCUGGGUUUAGAACGUCGUGAGACAGUUCGGUCCCUAUCUGCCGUGGGCGCUGGAGAACUGAGGGGGGCUGCUCCUAGUACGAGAGGACCGGAGUGGACGCAUCACUGGUGUUCGGGUUGUCAUGCCAAUGGCACUGCCCGGUAGCUAAAUGCGGAAGAGAUAAGUGCUGAAAGCAUCUAAGCACGAAACUUGC
rnacentral:rRNA from 1 species